GGAAAUAAUGUCCUACAACAUCUAUCGACAUCUGAACAACUGUCUGCGAAAUCUCUAAUACAUGACUGAAACAAAUUACUGUCUGAAAAUUGGGACAAGGCCCCCAGUAGACCCAAAACUAAUAAAUGAUAAAUGAACUGACAGACAUCAGGCCUUCCAAAAUAUAGAAGGCUUACCACUUGAUUCUGCAAAUCUGUUGGAAGAGAUCUACUGUGCCUGCAAACCUGGGAGGGAAGAGGGUCAAUACAAAAGUACCGGUACGCAAAGAAAUAAAAAACGAAAUAUAAUAUUUGUUCCAAAUAUAGGUGAGAUCCAUUAUAAAGAAGUUUCAUAUCAAAUCAUUUGAAAACACGUGGGCAUAAUUUAAUAGUUUUCAACAACAAUGUAAUGCAGCUGAGCUAAGUGGAAUACCCUACAUAUAACAUUUACACCAACUGUCAAAUCUCGGUAGCCACCGAGAUUAGAGUAUAAGUGAGGGGAAGACACACAAGAUCACACAGUAGGGUGUCUUGACCCAAUAAAGUAUAGUAGUGCCCAAGAUCACUUAGCCUAGGCUCCUAACCAUAGACCCUAUUUGGGAAUGACAUAAAGUCAAGUACACAAGAUCACUUAUCCUGGUACCAAAUCCCCAUGUCGAAAAACAUGGUUUCCAGCAAUGAGCCCUUACACUCAAACGCCUUCUUUGGGAAUCCACCUAUCUCAUGUAAAAUCAAUGUAUCAAACUCUAUUUAAUUCAAUCACAUAUCUUAUUCUGUAGGGUAUCAUCAUACCCGACUUGUAAGCCAUCAAUAUCAUAUCAUUCUUUCAUGUAACCAUUAUAUUCAUCAUAUUUCAACAUAACAACCCUCUCAUUGCAAGUCAAAACCAUGACCAUUUUCAAAAUAUUUCAUGUCACGCAUGUCAAGAUGACUUCAAACAUUUCACAUCAUAUAAGAAUUUAAAAUGAGAUCAUAUAAAGAGAGGUAUUUCAUAUAAUUCAUGCUCUCAAGUUAACAUCUUUUCGGAAUACAUACAUAUAAAUAUAUCAUCUAUCAAACCACUUCGGGAAUAGGCCUAAAGACCAAAUCAAUAUCAUAAACAUUUAAAAUGGGAUUAUAUUUAUAAUUUAAAAACCCUCAUUUUUAAAACAUUAAUUUUUAAGCCCAUGAUAUUUUUGAGAUAACCCCAUGUACCUCUAUAUGCGAAGAUGGUAGGUGCUUCUUGAAGCCUACGUUCUAGGGAUUCCAAAUAUGCAAUUAGUUUUAAAAACCGACGGUUGAAUCUUGAGUAGCUUGGGUUUUUAUUUUGAAACCCUAAGGAGAGUUCUUGAGCAAUUUUGAUGAAUGAAGGUAUAUUUUGGGGUGUUUGGGAAUUGAAGUUCAUGUUUAUUGCAAAAUAAGUGUGGGAAAAGGACUAUUUUGCCCAAAAAUCGGAGUGUUUAAGUCACUUGAGUAAUAAUAUAUGCGGCACACACCUUAUCGCAUAAUAUAGGUUGUGCGGCGCACUCUUUACCACACAUAUUAGGUUGUGCGUCGCACACCUUAUGGCAUAAGUUAGGAUGUGCGUCACACACCUUAUGCUGACUCCACUUUGCAAAGCCAUAACUUCUUCCUCGGAUGUCAGAUUUUUAUGAAAUUAGUAUCGUUGAAAAGAUAAUUCGAAUACCUUUCAUUUGAUAUAUAGUAGGAACUCUAAUUCAAUAUAUACAAAGAGUAAUGGGCGAUUGAAGUUGACCUAAGUUUCAACACUCACUAAAAUUCGAACGAUAGUAAAAAUUUCAACUUGUCCUUGAGCUUGGGGACCUCUAUGAUCUCAAUUCAUGCUCAAAUAGGUUUACACACUACAUAAUUUACUAACACACUAAACUUGCAUUGUAUUUAUGUCUUUUGGAACCUUUACGUGAAGGAAAUGACAAUUUUUGUUCUCGUCCAAAAUGCUGGGCGUUACACCAAAUGAUACAUUUGAUCCAAACCCAUAAAACCAAGCCAUUCAACAUGUAUUUUCAACAUUCAACAAUCCACGUAUUCUAAAUUUGCCCACCCGAACCUACAAUUUGCCUACCAGAUUUGAUUUAUCACAAUUCCCACAAAUUCAAUAUAAUCGAUGAUCCAAAAUUAAUUCUAAUUCACUAAUUGCGUUUAACCCCUUCCCAAAUUUCUUUUAACACAUGGAUUUUAAAAUGAAAUAGUUAUCAAGCCAUAUCAACAUCAAUUUCAUAGCAACGACUAGCUAUCCUAAUAAACAACACCAAGUAUCAACCAAAUACUCAAUCAACCAUCGUCAAACACAUAAUGAUAAUAAAAGAGUAGAGUCAAGAAUUGGACCUCAAAAGUUUUCGAUUGACUUAAGAAGAAAGAUAAGAGCCGCUCCGAGAACCUCAACGAACCCCAGCUCCGGUAUGCAUCCUUUUUUCAUUUUCUACUGACCCAAAAUAGAAAAUUGCCAAAAUAGAUGAAAUCGAAUCCAAUUUUGUGCAUAAUAAAACCUCAAUUCAAACCUGAAUCACCAAUUUCAAACCUAGCUCCUACCUAAUUUCGCACACCGAACGGAUCUAUUCCGUCUGUUUUCCAAGGGGUUUUGGGAUCGGACUCACUGUUUCUGCCUCACCAAAGUUUCAGAGAGCUUAGAUAGCAUAAAAAAUGGAGAAUGGCCCAAAUUCAGGGAAACAGCUGACUGUUAACCCCCGAUGUUUAGCUACUUUCACUGAAUCCCCCAUCUCUUUCGAUUUCUAUCACUCUCUCUGUUUUCUCUAUUCUUACCCAUCUCGAUCUCUUCCUCAAUCGAUAAUGUAUGUGUGAUGUCGUGUGUGGUGGAGUUUGAAGCUGUGCGUGUGUGCGUGUUUCGUGAAAAUAAAACAAAAAAUGGUCCCCUGAGGAAGAUGAGUCUCUAUUCCAACUACUUUCUUUUUUCUCACCCAUCUCUCGCUAUGUCUGUGUGUGUGUGUUAUGGAGGAGACCAAAAUGUUGUGGGUAUAUGUAUGGUUUUUGUAACAAUUUCGCAAAGAUAAAGAAAAGAACAAAAAAUAAUAGAGUGCUCAAAAUGGCGUGAGGUUGAUUUUUGUAUGUAGAAGAUGAAAAAUGGAGGAGCGUAUAUUACUGUGUGUGGUUCCACUGUGAUAGUCAUGUAAAGAAGAGGAAAAUGGAGAAUUAUUGCUACCUAAUUCUUCUGUGGGUCCCUUUUUGUGCAAUUGAAAACCCCCCUUCUUCUGUGUGUAUAUUUUU
rnacentral:lncRNA from 1 species